GAAGACACAAGUAGAAGAGAAGAAACAGAUUAUUACUGAAGAUUAUGAGACACUCAAAGUAAAAGUAGCUGAUAUGGAGGAACAAUAUCUCAAGGAGAAACAGAUCAUUAUUGACGACAAUCAAAAUCUCAUUUCUGA